GUGCAGCAGUCGAGAAUCUUCGGCAAUGGGCGAAAAGCCUGACCGAGCGACGCCGCGUGCGGGAUGAAGGCCUUCGGGUUGUAAAUCGCUGUCAGAGGGGAGGAAAUGUCAGGGGGGUCACCUCCUGGCUUGACCUAUCCCUCAGAGGAAGGACGGGCUAAGUUCGUGCCAGCAGCCGCGGUAAGACGAACCGUCCAAACGUUAUUCGGAAUU
rnacentral:rRNA from 1 species